rnacentral:rRNA from 1 species
CCGCACGAAGCGGUGGAGCAUGUGGUUAAUUCGAUGCAACGCGAAGAACCUUACCUGGUCUUGACAUCCACGGAAGUUUUCAGAGAUGAGAAUGUGCCUUCGGGAACCGUGAGACAGGUGCUGCAUGGCUGUCGUCAGCUCGUGUUGUGAAAUGUUGGGUUAAGUCCCGCAACGAGCGCAACCCUUAUCCUUUGUUGCCAGCGGUCCGGCCGGGAACUCAAAGGAGACUGCCAGUGAUAAACUGGAGGAAGGUGGGAUGACGUCAAGUCAUCAUGGCCCUUACGACCAGGGCUACACACGUGCUACAAUGGCGCAUACAAAGAGAAGCGACCUCGCGAGAGCAAGCGGACCUCAUAAAGUGCGUCGUAGUCCGGAUUGGAGUCUGCAACUCGACUCCAUGAAGUCGGAAUCGCUAGUAAUCGUGGAUCAGAAUGCCACGGUGAAUACGUUCCCGGGCCUU